ensembl:lncRNA
AUGGCCCCUUCCCCUCCCUUCUCGUCCCGUCGCCGCCUCCUCCUCCUCACCUCACCCCGCCCGCGCGCAGUCCGCGCGCCGUCCGCGCGCCCCUCCCCCCGCCCCCCACUCCAGCCCGCCUCUCCCGGGCGGGGGGUGCGGCGCGAGCCCGGAGCGCGCGCGCGUGCCGCGACCGGAGGAUGGAUGGAUGGAGCGAGCGAGAACGCGAGCGUGCGCGCGCGCGCCCCUCUCCCCCUCCCUUCGCGCGGGCGCGAGGCCAAGCGCGAGCGCGCUCCAACCUCCUCCUCUUCCUCCUCCCGCCCCUCCUCAACACCCCGCCCCCGCCCUCCCUUCCUCUUCCUUCUUUCGCUUUCGCGCGCCCAGCGACUGCUCGCGCCUGCUAGAAGGGCCCGAGCGCGUGCAUCUGCCCGGCGGCCGCAGCUCGGCAGCAUUUGCUCCAGGGGGCGGGGACCGGGCGGGGAGGAGGGGCGCCACGCCGCCGUCCAAAGUACCGGCGGACGGGGACGGGGGCGGGGAUAUGGGCGGGGCCUUCGGGAGCCACCUCGCCCAAUCGCUGUCUCGCCUCGGCCGGGCCGGCCCAAUAGGAUUUCGGUGGGUGGAGCGGCGUUCAAGGUGAGGUGCGCGGUGCGCUGGGGGCGGAGACGUUGUGCCGUCCCGGCCGGCUCCGGGGCGGGGGCAGCGGGUGGCGUCGAAAGAGAGCGCCGGCUUCCAGCCGCGCCUGGGACGCCUUCCGGCCCAGGGUCCCCCGCCCUUCCCUCCGGGCUCCCGGCUCUUUUCCCCCACAGUGCCACCACCCCGGAGUUUACUUAUGUGAAGAAGCCAGAGUUGAAGUGGGACGCAGUUGUCACCUCAGGGCAGAAAACCGAGGGGCCUCGUCCGAGCCUCGGUUCCCCGUGUUUCUGGGCUGGUCUCAGCCCACUCCGGGCCUCAGAACCUACAGACGCCCUAGAUGAGGGUCCUCCGUUGAGGGCGGAGGCUGAGCUGUGCCAUUCUGAGCGGAGCGCCCUCCCCGCCCUCAUCUUAAUUUAG